rnacentral:rRNA from 1 species
AGAAUCAACGCUGGCGGCGUGCCUAACACAUGCAAGUCGCACGAGAAAGGGGAGCAAUCCCUGAGUAAAGUGGCGCACGGGUGAGUAACACGUGAAUAAUCUACCUCGAGUGGGGAAUAACUGAGAGAAUCUUAGCUAAUACCGCAUAACACUUACGAGUCAAAGCAGCAAUGGCGCUUGGAGAGGAGUUCGCGGCCGAUUAGUUAGUUGGCGGGGUAAUGGCCCACCAAGACGAUGAUCGGUA